rnacentral:rRNA from 1 species
CGCACAGCUCAGUAGCACAUGGCUAACCUGCCCUUGGGACGAGAACAACCCCGGGAAACUGGGGACAAUUCUCGAUAAGUGAAGCUUCCUGGAAUGGAUCUUCGCUCAAAAGACGCCUAGAUCAUGCUUCUAGGCUUUGCCCAAGGAUGGGGCCGUGGCCGAUCAGGUUGUUGGUGAGGUAAUGGCUCACCAAGCCUAUAACCGGUGCGGGCCGUGGGAGCGGUAGCCCGGAGAUGGGAACUGAGACAAGAUCCCAGGCCCUACGGGGCGCAGCAGUCGCGCAAACUUCGCAAUAAGCGAAAGCUUGACGGGGCUAUCCCGAGUGCCAUCCGCUGAGGAUGGCUUUUCUCCAGUGUAGAUAGCUGGGGGAAUAAGGAGAGGGCAAGUCUGGUGUCAGCCGCCGCGGUAAUACCAGCUCUCCGAGUGGUGAGGACGAUUAUUGGGCCUGAAGCAUCCGUAGCCGGCUGGGCGAGUCCCCUGUUAAAUCCAACGAACUAAUCGCUGGCCUGCAGGGGAUACUGCUCGGCUAGGAGGCGGGAGAGGCCGUCGGUAUUCUUGGGGUAGGGGUGAAAUCCUAUAAUCCCAGGAGGACCACCAGUGGCGAAGGCUGUCGGCUAGAACGCGCUCGACGGUGAGGGAUGAAAGCUGGGGGAGCGAACC